rnacentral:rRNA from 1 species
GCACGCCGAGUCUGCCUUCGGGCAGGCGACACCCGCCUGUAGCUGGAAGGUUCCCCCGGGUCUCCGGGGGCAACGAUCAGCUGCUGCACGCCCGGGGCGUGCAGUCCACAGAUCAAACGUGGGUGGCCUGCGCCGCAGGUUGAGAUAUGACCGUAGCAGCUCCGCCAGGAGUCUGGAAUGCUAGUUCCGUAGGUGAACCUGCGGAAGGAUCAUUA